CCUUGUCCUUUCCCAGGAGAUUCCCUCCACCUGAAAUAUCUCUUCUGUUUGGAAGUCUUCUCGCUUGUUCUUCCUGGGGCACCUCUACACAUUCCGUCCUCUGCGAAGCCUUCCUUGACACAGUCAUCACGUGUCCAGGGCAUACUUGGCAAUAUUUGGAGACAUUUUUGAUUGUCACAACUGGGGCGUAUGCAACUGGCAUCUAGCAGGUAGAGGCCAGAGAUGCUGUUAAACGUUCUAUAAUGCACGGGACAGCGCCCUAGCCCCCAACGAGGAAUCAUCCAGCCUACAGUGUCAACAGUGCUGAGAUUGAGAAGCCUGCCUUACUGGAGUAAGUCUGGCCAUCUGGAACCAGUAACAAUAGCUCUGCAACUGCUUUGAUCAAUAGGAAUACGGUGUACGUGCUGAUAUGCUGGUUUAUGAAACUAGCAGCUUCUACUCCCUGCCUCUUGGAACGUCUGUCCUCUUUGGGAAUCCUGAAAUACCAUGUGAGAAGUCUGGCUCCUCGAGAUUCCUGUGCUGGGAGCUCAAGGCAGGCAACGUGGUGGGCAGUCCCAGUGAAGUCUAACCUUCCAUUCACCCUUGCCAACUAGCAUUCAUGGGGGCAGAUACUCUUGGACCCUCCAGGAGAGCCCGUCCAGAGAUGACUACUACUGGUGAAGUGAUGUAGCCAGCAUCAUGUGGGGGAUUACCCAAUGGGGUCCUGUCUGAAUUCCUUUU